CAAAAAAUCAGUAGCAUUUCUAUAUACUAAUAACAGACUAUCCAAAAAAGAAAUUAAGAGAACUCCUUUUACAAUAGCUACCAAAAAGAGAGAGAAAGAAAGAAAGAAAUUUAACCAAGGUGAAGAAAGGCUUGUACGCUGAAAUCUAUAAAAUGUUGAUGAGAGAAAUUGUAGAAGAUACAAGUAAAUAGCAUGAUAUUCUUUGCUCAUAGAC
rnacentral:lncRNA from 10 species